GUGGAGGGAAAGGACUUUACUGUUUAUUGUGAUGCUUCUCGGAUUGGCUUGGGUUGUGUGCUGAUACAAGAGGGUAGGGUGAUCGCAUAUGCUUCGAGACAGUUGAAGGUCCACGAGAAAAACUACCCCACUCAUGACUUUGAGUUGGCUGCAGUAGUCUUCGCUUUGAAGAUUUGGAGACAUUACUUGUAUGGCGUCCAUUGUGAGGUGUUCACGGAUCACUGUAGUCUUCAGCAUGUGUUUAAUCAGCGGGACCUAAAUUCGAGGCAGUGUAGAUGGAUGGAGUUGCUUAAGGACUAUGAUAUCACCAUUCUUUAUCAUCCGGGAAAAGCAAAUGUGGUAGCUGAUGCGCUGAGCCGAAAGGCAGUGAGUAUGGGUAGCUUGGCGCGUUUGCUUGUGUAAGAGCGUCCUAUAGCCAUGGAGGUGCAGAGUUUGGCUAAUAGUAUGGUGAGGCUCGAUAUUUCAGAACCUGGUAAGGUUUUAGCUUGUGUGGAGGCGAGGUCGUCUCGUUUAGAGCAGGUUAGGGCCCAGCAGUUUGAGGAUAUGAAAUUGUGCAAAAUUCGGGAUAAAGUGCUAGGUGGAGAAGCCAAAGAAGCUAUUCUUGAUGAUGGGGGUAUUUUGAGAAUUAAGGGGCGUAUUUGCGUUCUUAGAGUUGGUGAGUUGAUUCCGUUAAUCUUGAAGGAGGCUUAUAGUUCCAGAUACUUCAUUCAUCCAGGAGCAACAAAGAUGUAUCGUGACUUGAGGCAACACUAUUGGUGGGGUAGAAUGAAGAAAGACAUUGUGGAGUUUGUUGCACAGUGUUCGAAUUGCCAGCAAGUUAAGUAUGAGCACCAGAGAACAGGUGGUGUGCUUCAGAGAAUGCCCAUUCCCUAAUGGAAAUGGGAAGGGAUCGCCAUGGAUUUCGUGGUUGGUCUUCCGAAGACUCUGGGUAAGUUUGAUUCGAUUUGGGUUAUCGUGGAUAGGUUGACUAAGUCCGCGCACUUCAUUCCGGUUCAGGCUUCUUAUAACGCGGAGAAGUUGGCCAGGAUCUACAUUCGGGAGAUAGUGCGAUUGCACGGGGUUCCUAUUUCCAUCAUUUCUGACAGAGGCACUCAGUUUACUUCCCAUUUCUGGAGGACUUUGCAAAAAGAAUUGGGAACUCAGUUAGAUCUUAGCACCGCGUUCCACCCGCAGACAGAUGGUCAGUCCGAGAGGACUAUUCAGGUGCUUGAGGAUAUGUUGAGGGCGUGUGUUAUUGAUUUUGGUGGUCAUUGGGACAAAUUCUUACCCUUGGCAGAGUUCGCGUACAAUAAUAGCUAGCAUUCCAGUAUUGAUAUGGCGCCAUUCGAGGCUUUAUAUGGUAGGAGGUGUCGUUCUCCUAUUGGGUGGUUUGAUGCUUUUGAGGUUCGACCUUGGGGUACAGAUUUGCUGAGGGAGUUUUUGGAUAAGGUGAAGCUUAUUCAGGAAAAGCUUCUGGCAGCUCAGAGUAGGCAGAAGGAGUAUGCUGACCGGAAGGUUCGUGAUAUGGAGUUCAUGGUUGGUGAGCAGGUCCUAUUGAAGGUUUCACCCAUGAAGGGUGUGAUGCGAUUUGGGAAGAAAGGCAAGUUGAGCCCGAGGUUUAUUGGCCCUUUUAAGAUUCUUCGUCGUGUUGGCGAUGCGGCUUAUGAGUUGGCGUUGCCACCAGGUUUGGCAGGUGUUCAUCCGGUAUUCCAUGUUUCUAUGUUGAAGAAGUACCAUUCAGUCAGGUCUUAUAUCAUUCAAUAGGAUUCGGUACUACUAGAUAAGAAUCUAUCCUUUGAGGAAGAGCCGGUAGAAAUCCUAGAUUGACAAGUGAGAAGGUUAAGGUCCAAAGAUAUUGCUUCAGUCAAGGUGCAGUGGAAGCACCGUCCGGUGGAGGAAUCUACUUGGGAGACCGAGGCGGAUAUGCAGAGUAGAUAUCCUCAGUUGUUCGACAGUUCAGGUACCUCCUUUUCUCUCCCUUUACCCUUGUCGCUCGAGGACGAGCGAUUGUUUGAUUGGUAUCUGAUGUAACAACCCGUUUGGUCGUUUAGAACCUGUGAACUAGUUUUCGCUAAAAUACCCUUUUCUUAGUUUAAAGGGUAUUCUUAAUUUGCGGGAAUUUGGUGGCAUGGUGAUUUAAUUGGCGGAUAGUUUUUUAAAUAUCUUUUUAUUUAAUAUGUGUGAAUAGUUUAUUUAUAGGAAUAUGAGUUUCACACAUAUAAGAUCUAAGUUGGAAAUUAAAAUAUUUGGCGGAAGGACUAUAUUUCUACAGGUGGUUAAGUGGAUAAGUAAAUUGUAGAAAUUAAGGGGAAUAUUAUUUACACACACAUAUAUAGGGCAUGAGGAGAGAGUAUUUAUUUUACUUUAUUUUAUUUGGCUAAUAUGCUAAUGGAUUGGUGGACUAAAAUGCAUUGGUUGGUUAUUAAAUAAAAGGUAAAAGAAGUGGGCCAAUCUACUAUUUGGACUUACGGAGGGAGUAAUAAAUUUGUUAGGUAGGUAGGUAUUAAUGAUGAAGCUAAAGGAAAGUCACAGUUAGUUAGUGCAUGUACUUAUUAUUAAGUUGAAAACAUAUUAAUUAGUGGAAGUACAGAGGGAUAAUUUCCACUCAAUGUUUCCUUUUCAACAAGUCAAUGAUAAUGAUAACCACCAGCUCCUUUAUCUGCCAACAAACACCAAUUCUUCUUCUUUUCUAAAUUAUCAAGACACCACCUAUGUCCAAGAUCUUAUUACGGAUCUUGCUCCAUUCGAUUCAUUAUUGGAAGUGGACACAAAUUACUUUAACUUGAACAACACCAGAAAUAUCAAGAGGAAGAGCAAAAACAUUCCAAAAAGAAUUCUAGGAACUCAACUGUGCAAAUUUUAAUCGUUCAGAGGCUCUACGCAAAGGGAAGGCAUUAGUUUGAUUGUUCGUGGCACUCGUUCGACAUUGAGAGUACGAUCCAGGUUCUAGUUCUACACCCCGUGGCUGAUACGCGAGGGUGACAUCUUCAGUCAUUCAGGGUGAGCUACUUGGUCAUCCGUGGCCCCUGAAGAACCUCCUCUAUUUAUUUCGGUUCUUGUAUUCUACAGACAAUAUGUAGCCUUCGGGUAUUUUCAGACUUCUAUUCCGUACUAUGUUAGCGGUCUUGUACCCUUUGACCAGAUUUUGGGGUUGUCGUGACAUUUCUAAUUAUGAUAAGCAUUUAAGACUUGAUAACUUAUUCUUAUUUAAUUUUUCUGCUUAUUUAACUUGUUAUUAGUAAUGUGGUUCGCCUACUCGGAGGGAUAGUGUAGGUGCCACCACGACUCGCGAAUUGGGUCGUGACAUAUACGCACUACCACCUGAUCAGAUAUAUAUCUAUACAUAUAUGUAUGUAUGUAUGACCCCUAUGCAUGCAUGCACAGACAGUAUUUAUGCAGAUCAUUGGCCUACAGAGGCAGUUCAGACAUACAGGUUGUUUUCAUUUUAUCCUAUGUACUUUUAUGUCUCUUUAUGUUACUUUCAUGCCUUACAUACUCAAUACGUUUCCUUUACUGAUGUCCCUUUUCUGGGGCGCUACGUUUUAUGCCCGCAGGUUCAGGUAGACAGAUUGACGAUCCGCCCCUGCAGGCUGAUAUUCAACUGAUAUUGGAGCACUCCUCUUGUUCCGGAGUUGUUGUUGUGUUUUGGUACGUUAUACUUUUGUGUACAUACGGGUAUGGCGGGACCCUAUCCCGACCUUAUUAUGUCAUAUACUCCAGUAGAGACUUAUAAACGGUCAUGGUAUAGUUAGACGAUGUAUGGCCCCGCAGCCUAUAUUUUUAUUGUAAUGUAUUUCAUGGUGGCCUAGUCAGCUUGCACAAUUUUUGUCCAGCAUAGUCAUAUCGGAUGUCUUUUCGGGCU